GGUGGGAGCGAGCCUGCUCGCGAUAGCGUCGGGUCAGCCAAUGCUGAGUUGACUGAUACACCACUAUCGCGAGCAGGCUCGCUCCCACA
rnacentral:misc_RNA from 1 species